rnacentral:rRNA from 1 species
CAGUUAAGCGCGCUUGGGCUAGAGUAGUACUGGGAUGGGUGACCUCCAGGGAAGUCUUAGUGUUGCACCCU